AUACGUAGGGAGCGAGCGUUGUCCGGAAUUACUGGGCGUAAAGGGCGCGUAGGCGGCGCUUCAAGUCGUCUGUCAAAUGGGAGGGCUUAACCCUUUUUCGCAGACGAAACUGGAGAGCUUGAGAAGCAGAGAGGCAAACAGAAUUCCUGGUGUAGCGGUGAAAUGCAGAGAUAUCAGGAAGAAUACCAGUGGCGAAGGCGGUUUGCUGGCUGCAUACUGACGCUGAAGCGCGAAAGCCAGGGGAGCAAACGGGAUUAGAUACCCCGGUAGUCCUGGCAGUAAACGAUGUAUGCUGGGUGUGAGACUAGCGAUAGUUUCGUGCCGAAGUUAACGCGAUAAGCAUACCGCCUGGGGAGUACGGUCGCAAGAUUGAAACUCAAAUGAAUUGACGGGG
rnacentral:rRNA from 1 species